rnacentral:rRNA from 1 species
UUUGAUUCUGGCUCAGGAUGAACGCUAGCGGCAGGCCUAAUACAUGCAAGUCGAACGGUAAAUAUUUUAGCAAUAGAAUAUGAGAGUGACGUACGGGUGCGUAACACGUAUGCAACCUACCCUUUACAGGCGGAUAGCUCGGGGAAACUCGAAUUAACCCGUCAUAAGAUCAUAGAGUGGCAUCACUUAGUGAUUAAAAUUACGGUGGUAAAGGAUGGGCAUGCGUCUGAUUAGUUAGUUGGUGCGGGUAACGGCCCACCAAGACGAUGAUCAGUAGGGGAACUGAGAGGUUGAUCCCCCACACUGGCACUGAGAUACGGGCCAGACUCCUACGGGAGGCAGCAGUAGGGAAUAUUGGUCAAUGGAUGGAAGUCUGAACCAGCCAUGCCGCGUGCAGGAAGAAGGCCUUCUGGGUUGUAAACUGCUUUUGCCAGGGGCUAAAAAGCUCAUGCGUGAGAAAUUGAAAGUACCUGGUGAAUAAGCCACGGCUAACUACGUGCCAGCAGCCGCGGUAAUACGUAGGUGGCAAGCGUUGUCCGGAUUUAUUGGGUUUAAAGGGUGCGUAGGCGGCUUUGUAAGUCAGUGGUGAAAUAUGGCAGCUCAACUGUCAGGGUGCCAUUGAUACUGCGGAGCUUGAGUACAGAUGAGGUAGGCGGAAUUGACGGUGUAGCGGUGAAAUGCUUAGAUAUCGUCAAGAACACCGAUAGCGAAGGCAGCUUACUGGGCUGUAACUGACGCUGAGGCACGAAAGUGUGGGGAUCAAACAGGAUUAGAUACCCUGGUAGUCCACACUGUAAACGUUGAUGACUCGCUGUUGGCGAUACACAGCCAGCGGCAGAGAGAAAUCGUUAAGUCAUCCACCUGCGAGUACGCCGGCAACGGUGAAACUCAAAGGAAUUGACGGGGGUCCGCACAAGCGGUGGAGCAUGUGGUUUAUUCGAUGAUACGCGAGGACCUUACCUGGACUAGAAUGCCUUGAUGG